GAGUAAUGAUGUUUAAACCUAUUCCAUUACUGAAAUGCAAUGUGGAAAAAAGAAACUGAACUC
ensembl:snoRNA SNORD98 small nucleolar RNA SNORD98